CCUACGGGUGGCAGCAGUGAGGAAUAUUGGUCAAUGGGCGGAAGCCUGAACCAGCCAAGUAGCGUGCGGGAUGAAGGCCCUACGGGUCGUAAACCGCUUUUGCACGGGGAUAACACCCUCCCCUUGUGGAGGUCUGCAGGUACCGUGCGAAUAAGGGCCGGCUAAUUCCGUGCCAGCAGCCGCGGUAAUACGGAAGGACCGAGCGUUAUCCGGAUUUAUUGGGGUUAAAGGGAGCGUAGGCGGGCGUUCAAGUCAGCUGUAAAAUCGCGCGGCUCAACCGGGACCCGCAGUUGAUACUGGACGCCUUGAGUUCACAAGCGGCAGGCGGAAUUCGUGGUGUAGCGGUGAAAUGCAGAGAUAUCACGAGGAACCCCGAUUGCGAAGGCAGCCUGCCGGGGUGCGACUGACGCUGAGGCUCGAAGGUGCGGGUAUCAAACAGGAUUAGAUACCCUUGUAGUC
rnacentral:rRNA from 1 species